GCAGCCGCCGCGGUAAAACGAAGGGGGCUAGCGUUGUUCGGAAUUACUGGGCGUAAAGGGCGCGUAGGCGGCCAUUCAAGUUAGAUGUGAAAGCCCUGGGCUCAACCUAGGAAUUGCGUUUGAUACUGUUUGGCUUGAGUUCGGGGGAGGUGAGUGGAAUUCCCAGUGUAGAGGUGAAAUUCGUAGAUAUUGGGAAGAACACCAGUGGCGAAGGCGGCUCACUGGACCGACACUGACGCUGAGGCGCGAAAGCGUGGGGAGCAAACAGGAUUAGAUACCCGAGUAGUCCCUGUCUCUUAUAA
rnacentral:rRNA from 1 species